AGUUAGAGCACCUUGGGUUUGGCUGUGUUGGGGCACCAUGGGAUGGGUGUGUUCUGGCAUCCUGGGUGUCUUGGGCCACCCUGGGGCUGGUUGUCUUGGGACAUGCCCCAGUUGGGUGUUUUGGGUCACCCAUUUGGGACUAGCCUUGGCUCAUCCUGGCCCUUGCCCCUCUCACACCUGUCACCCUGCAGGGAUGUGGCUCUCAGUGUUGCUGCCUUGUCCUUCAACCUGUGGUUCACCAAGCUGUCCUGCAAGGAUUUCAGGCUGAAUCAGGAGAUUUCAGAGCAGUUGCUCUACAUGCUCAGCAAAUCAGUGACGCUGGAGGAGCUGGUGCUGGAGAACAGUGGCUUGAAAGCUGACUUUGUGCAGAGGAUGGCCCAGGCACUCAGCAGCCAUCCCAACUCUGCCCUGCACACCAUCAACCUCGCUGGCAACCAGCUGGAAGACAGAGGUAGACAAAUUCUGGGCUGGGAUGAGUU
rnacentral:lncRNA from 12 species